UACGUAGGGUGCGAGCGUUAAUCGAAUUACUGGGCGUAAAUCGUGCGCAGGCGGUUUUGUAAGCCAGAUGUGAAAUCCCCGGGCUUAACCUGGGAAUGGCAUUUGGGACUGCAAGGCUGGAGUUUGGCAGAGGAGACUGGAAUUCCUGGUGUAGCAGUGAAAUGCGUAGAUAUCAGGAGGAAUACCGAUGGCGAAGGCAGGUCUCUGGGCUGAAACUGACGCUCAUGCACGAAAGCGUGGGGAGCAAACAGG
rnacentral:rRNA from 1 species